CAGAAAAAGAAACUUGAAAACGUGAAAAAAUAACUUUCUUUGUCAAAGGGAACAUUAUCAACAUUUUUUUCCAACAAUUCAAACAAUGCAUCACUGCACUGUGUAGAACACAGCAUGUGGGAAGAUCUUAGUAUUUACUGAUGCUGCUUUCACUCCACUUCCCAGGUCAUUAUAGAUCUCCCAGGCAUAUGCAGUCCUCCUGCAGUAUGCCACAUAAUGCCCGAGAGAAUCCUGGGUCAGUCCUGGUUCAAAGCCAAUGACUGCUCUCAAAGUAAAGGUCUUCUCUUUUAGCUCCAGACUGGAGGGAAAUUCAAGCAAGGCAACUUCCUUGCAACUGCUACCAAGAGUUUUGAAUGAAGACGGACACUGGGAAGGAUUUUCAAUUGGCCUGAGGCAGAGAAAGUCAGGAAGGCUGAGUCCCUCUUCAGCAGCAGUCUGAAGAGAAGCCAUGCCACAGUGGAGAUGUGGCAUUGUGCAUCAAUUUGGAGAGCACCAGAGGUCAGGAGGACAGGUUUGAAUAUUUCCCCCAGCAGUUCUGCCCUCUGUGAAUAUACCUGUGGGUUCACACUCUGUGUUGUGAUGGUUUUCACCAGGUGGAGGAAUUGGUUCCCACAUUCAUAGUUCAGAACAGUCUUUUCAAAUGAAAAACUUUCACAGAAAGAACAGCAUAAGCAUUGCAAGACAGAAUCAAAUGCACAAGUAUUGAGCACAAACACUUUUGAUGUGCGAAGUUUAACAGGCUGUUGAUGGUUCCCGUUUUUCAACAAUGGUACCUUGACUUUUUUCCAGCCCACUUGUGUGUCAAUAUGCAGCCAUUCAGGACAAGGAGAGAGAUAUGAAGUUAUCUUUCUUUUUUUCGGUGGGACUGCUAAACCU